rnacentral:rRNA from 1 species
GACGAACGCUGGCGGCGUGCUUAGCACAUGCAAGUCGAACGGAAAGGCCCUGCUUUUGUGGGGUGCUCGAGUGGCGAACGGGUGAGUAACACGUGAGUAACCUGCCCUUGACUUUGGGAUAACUUCAGGAAACUGGGGCUAAUACCGGAUAGGAGCUCCUGCUGCAUGGUGGGGGUUGGAAAGUUUCGGCGGUUGGGGAUGGACUCGCGGCUUAUCAGCUUGUUAGUGGGGUAGUGGCUUACCAAGGCUUUGACGGGUAGCCGGCCUGAGAGGGUGACCGGCCACAUUGGGACUGAGAUACGGCCCAGACUCCUACGGGAGGCAGCAGUGGGGAAUAUUGCACAAUGGGCGGAAGCCUGAUGCAGCAACGCCGCGUGCGGGAUGACGGCCUUCGGGUUGUAAACCGCUUUCGCCUGUGACGAAGCGUGAGUGACGGUAAUGGGUAAAGAAGCACCGGCUAACUACGUG